CCCACGAUCGCACGUCCCACGCCUGGUCUCCCCAGCCCCUCGCUUCCGAUCACAUCUCUCGCCUGUAUGGUCUCGCCGCUCUGCCCUCUCGAUCCGCCGCCGUGAAGCCUGUAUGGUCACCAUCUAGCCUCCACCGUCUCCCUUCUCCUCUCUGAAGGCAGGCCCUCCUCGGUGUGAUGAGUAGUCCGCGGUGCUGCCGCCCCCUGCACGAGAGUGGCCGCGGCGUCGGCCACACCAGCACUCUCGUCGGGGCCGCACUUCCUGUACCGUACCUGGCUGGCCGGGAGGAGCUUGCUGCUCGCCAUGAUCUUCUCCACGUGUAGGCUACCCGGUCGAGCUCUCCCACCGGUCAAACGAGCCAAGCGCAAAAGUGACGAGAGAAUGCAUGCUCUGCAAUGACGUGCACUGCGUACCUUGCAGAGUUCUUGCUAGGAAUCUGAAGAUAGCGUGUUGUACACCUGCAGGUAAUUUGCUUUUAUUGGAUUGUGGGAGGAGAGGCCAAACCGUACUUGUGUAAUGGUGCAGCUUAAAUGUUUGAAGGAAGACUUACAUCAUACUUGGAGAAUAAUUACAUCCUACUUGGAGGUAGGAGGGACGUGUCAUAUGUUUUUGGGAUCCAGGUAAUAUUUAGCUUACCUGCUAGACCACAUUACUUCCAAAAUAUUUACCUACCAUGACAGGAAAAUCUAUUGGAUCUAGCACUGCAUUGUAGACUCAACAUAUCUAGCUCAGACCCGUCAUCCUCUCAUUCCGUGUUAUGUAUGCUUUUCUUUUGAAGUUUUCAUCAACCUCGCUUUCUUUAUUCAGAACAAGAUGGUUGUAUAUACAUCCAAAUUCAGAUCACACAGUGCCUUACAAGGUGGGAAUCAGCAGGGCAAGGGAAGAAUCCUGGGAGGUAAUUUUGAUUAUCCCAUAAUGGGGUCCAUGAUAAAUGUUGGCUAAUUGUGUUUUGAAAAAUAUCAGUUUCAUGUUCUCUUGGUGUUUUUGGAUUUGCCUCAAUGUCAUCCAGAUUGAUUUCAUAUACCAAAAUCUUAAUCCAACUCUUUUCUGGACAUAAGUUUAUAUGCACAUGCUACAUAGUUUUGAUGUAUAUAUGUCUCUUCCUCUGAGUAGUAUGCUCCAAUUUUUGUUUCUUGAUGUAUAUUGCCACUUGAAUAACACUCAGUUUCUCUAAAUAAAUUUGUACUCUACAUACCUCUCUCUCUGCGGUGGAAAAUCUAUCAUACAGGGCAAUAAGAUGAAAUCAGUUUUUAAUUUGAGAUGUCCUUUAAAAAACCCAUGGAGAAACCAAGCGAAUUGACAGUCAGCCCGCAUCAAUAUGGCGAAUCGACCGGAGUUGCCUUCUUGGGACGAUGCAUUUGCAUUGAAGCAGUGUCGCUGGUCUGAUCGCGGCGGUCAGCACCGCCCUCCCAUCCGGUCACAUUGCGCGACAUCAAUACAGGUCUGCAGCUCUGGGCCGGCAUGAAUGUGGUGCGGGAAGCUGCGCGUCUGUUGGAGAGAUAGAGUAUGUAUGUUUAUUUGUAUUUUUCUUACUUAAUAGGUGGAUUUGCUCCAGUGAUUCUGCGGCCGUCGAGGAGGUGAGGUUUUUCCGUCAAAUGAUUUUACAGUCUGUUUGGUGUGACCACUGCUACUAGGUGCAGAGUAAGGACUAGGACAAGCAUCAGUCAUGUAAAUUGUUAAUCAAUCUGGUUUUGCAAGUCGUUGAGUCGUAGUAGCUAUGUAGGAUUCCUAAUGGAUACUACCAUGAAUCAUGUUCUGUCGUUAAGGAGAACCUUUUCUAAA